GGUAAUACGGAGGGUGCGAGCGUUAAUCGGAAUUACUGGGCGUAAAGCGUGCGCAGGCGGUUUGUUAAGCGAGAUGUGAAAGCCCCGGGCUCAACCUGGGAACCGCAUUUCGAACUGGCAAACUAGAGUCUUGUAGAGGGGGGUAGAAUUCCAGGUGUAGCGGUGAAAUGCGUAGAGAUCUGGAGGAAUACCGGUGGCGAAGGCGGCCCCCUGGACAAAGACUGACGCUCAGGC
rnacentral:rRNA from 1 species